rnacentral:rRNA from 1 species
CACAUGCAAGUCGAACGGUAAGGCCCCUUCGGGGGUACACGAGUGGCGCACGGGUGAGUAACGCGUAUGCAACCUGCCCUGUACAGGGGGAUAGCCCGGAGAAAUCCGGAUUAAUACCCCAUAGUUUUUAUGAGUCGCAUGGCUUAUAAAAUAAAGUUUCGGCGGUACAGGAUGGGCAUGCGUGGCAUUAGCUAGUUGGUAAGGUAACGGCUUACCAAGGCGACGAUGCCUAGGGGUUCUGAGAGGAUGAUCCCCCACACUGGGACUGAGACACGGCCCAGACUCCUACGGGAGGCAGCAGUGAGGAAUAUUGGUCAAUGGGCGAGAGCCUGAACCAGCCAUCCCGCGUGCAGGAUGACGGCCCUACGGGUUGUAAACUGCUUUUAUGUACCAAGAAUGUGUUCUACGUGUAGGAUUUUGACGGUAGUACAUGAAUAAGCAUCGGCUAACUCCGUGCCAGCAGCCGCGGUAAUACGGAGGAUGCAAGCGUUAUCCGGAUUCAUUGGGUUUAAAGGGUGCGUAGGCGGCUAUAUAAGUCAGUGGUGAAAUGCUGCAGCUCAACUGUAGAACUGCCAUUGAAACUGUAUAGCUUGAGUGCGCCUGAGGUAGGCGGAAUGAGUAGUGUAGCGGUGAAAUGCUUAGAUAUUACUCAGAACACCGAUUGCGAAGGCAGCUUACUAAAGCGUAACUGACGCUGAUGCACGAAAGCGUGGGGAGCGAACAGGAUUAGAUACCCUGGUAGUCCACGCCGUAAACGAUGAUAACUCGCUGUUGGCGAUACACAGUCAGCGGCUUAGCGAAAGCAUUAAGUUAUCCACCUGGGGAGUACGAUCGCAAGGUUGAAACUCAAAGGAAUUGACGGGGGCCCGCACAAGCGGAGGAACAUGUGGUUUAAUUCGAUGAUACGCGAGGAACCUUACCUGGGCUA